rnacentral:rRNA from 1 species
GACGAACGCUGGCGGCGUGCUUAACACAUGCAAGUCGAACGGAAAGGCCCUGCUUUUGUGGGGUGCUCGAGGGGCGAACGGGUGAGUAACACGUGAGUAACCUGCCCUUGACUUUGGGAUAACUUCAGGAAACUGGGGCUAAUACCGGAUAGGAGCUCCUGCUGCAUGGUGGGGGUUGGAAAGUUUCGGCGGUUGGGGAUGGACUCGCGGCUUAUCAGCUUGUUGGUGGGGUAGUGGCUUACCAAGGCUUUGACGGGUAGCCGGCCUGAGAGGGUGACCGGCCACAUUGGGACUGAGAUACGGCCCAGACUCCUACGGGAGGCAGCAGUGGGGAAUAUUGCACAAUGGGCGGAAGCCUGAUGCAGCAACGCCGCGUGCGGGAUGACGGCCUUCGGGUUGUAAACCGCUUUCGCCUGUGACGAAGCAUGAGUGACGGUAAUGGGUAAAGAAGCACCGGCUAACUACGUG